rnacentral:rRNA from 1 species
AACGAACGCUGGCGGCAUGCCUAACACAUGCAAGUCGAACGAGACCUUCGGGUAGAGUGGCGGACGGGUGCGUAACGCGUGGGAACCUGCCCUUAGGUUCGGAAUAGCUCCCCGGAAGGGGUUCUAAUACCGGAUAAUUUCUUCAUACCAAAGAUUUAUCGCCUUUGGAUGGGCCCGCGUUGGAUUAGAUAGUUGGUAGGGUAAAAGCCUACCAAGGCGACGAGACAUAGCUGGUCUGAGAGGAUGAUCAGACACACUGGGACUGAGACACGGCCCAGACUUCUACGCGAGGCAGCAGUGGGGAAUAUUGGACAAUGGGCGAAAGCAUGAUCCAGCAAUGCCGCGUGAGUGAUGAAGGCCUUAGGGUUGUAAAGCUCUUUUAUACGGGAUGAUAAUGACAGUACCGGGAGAAUAAGCGCCGGCUAACUACGUG